AACUCCCUUGUCCAGCAACAGAAAAAAAACGUAGCACAGAGGGAAGGAAAAACAAACUCUUCCUUGUCUGUCCCAUGCCUUGGCUUGCAGCAAAUGGUUGCUUAAGCACUGGCUGGAGCCUCCUCCUGCUGCAGGUGGCCAUGGGUGUGGAAAGAGGAACGUUCAAUCCAAGCAGACCGCAGAUGUGAUGCCCACCUGCCCUUGUGCUUCCUUUUGCCCACAUUAGUGGAAGUUAAGAGACGUGCCAGACCUAGGCAUCUGAGAGCCAACAACUGAGCUGUGCCUGAAGGAGGAACUACUGGAGUGGAACGCAUCAGUCAAGCCAAGAGCCACCAGCCAGAAUGCCACUGUGGGAGAACAUCUGGUACCACUGAAAGAAACUAGGGGCUGGAAAAGCCAGGGGUGGACUGAACAAACAGUGAGCCGGCACGGGAUGCAGUGGAGCAUGUUCAUCGGUACGAGUGUUGGACAAUGGAACCAAAACAAUUGCUUUUGUGGGAGUUCGGCUCAUU
rnacentral:lncRNA from 1 species